UGGGGAAUAUUGCACAAUGGGCGCAAGCCUGAUGCAGCAACGCCGCGUGAACGAUGAAGGUCUUCGGAUCGUAAAGUUCUGUUGCAGGGGAAGAUAAUGACGGUACCCUGUGAGGAAGCCCCGGCUAACUACGUGCCAGCAGCCGCGGGAAUACGUAGGGGGCUAGCGUUAUCCGGAUUUACUGGGCGUAAAGGGUGCGUAGGUGGUCUUUCAAGUCGGUGGUUAAAGGCUACGGCUCAACCGUAGUUAGCCUCCGAAACUGGAAGACUUGAGUGCAGGAGAGGAAAGUGGAAUUCCCAGUGUAGCGGUGAAAUGCGUAGAUAUUGGGAGGAACACCAGUAGCGAAGGCGGCUUUCUGGACUGCAACUGACACUGAGGCACGAAAGCGUGGGUAGCAAACAGG
rnacentral:rRNA from 1 species